UAACACAUGCAAGUCGAACGGUAGCACAGAGAGCUUGCUCUCGGGUGACGAGUGGCGGACGGGUGAGUAAUGUCUGGGAAACUGCCCGAUGGAGGGGGAUAACUACUGGAAACGGUAGCUAAUACCGCAUAACGUCGCAAGACCAAAGAGGGGGACCUUCGGGCCUCUUGCCAUCGGAUGUGCCCAGAUGGGAUUAGCUUGUAGGUGAGGUAACGGCUCACCUAGGCGACGAUCCCUAGCUGGUCUGAGAGGAUGACCAGCCACACUGGAACUGAGACACGGUCCAGACUCCUACGGGAGGCAGCAGUGGGGAAUAUUGCACAAUGGGCGCAAGCCUGAUGCAGCCAUGCCGCGUGUAUGAAGAAGGCCUUCGGGUUGUAAAGUACUUUCAGCGGGGAGGAAGGGAGUGAGGUUAAUAACCUCAUUCAUUGACGUUACCCGCAGAAGAAGCACCGGCUAACUCCGUGCCAGCAGCCGCGGUAAUACGGAGGGUGCAAGCGUUAAUCGGAAUUACUGGGCGUAAAGCGCACGCAGGCGGUCUGUCAAGUCGGAUGUGAAAUCCCCGGGCUCAACCUGGGAACUGCAUUCGAAACUGGCAGGCUGGAGUCUUGUAGAGGGGGGUAGAAUUCCAGGUGUAGCGGUGAAAUGCGUAGAGAUCUGGAGGAAUACCGGUGGCGAAGGCGGCCCCCUGGACAAAGACUGACGCUCAGGUG
rnacentral:rRNA from 1 species